AUAGCUGCUAAAUAUGAGCUAAGCUAUGCCUGAGAAGAUGACUAGGAUUUAAGGAUGAGGUAGGUGUUUCAGGUUAGGAAAGCAGCUAUUUGUGGACUGUAAGGCAGACUUGUUCCUGGGCAGAAGCAGUGAGCUGACUAAAUUGGUGGAUGGAUCUGGAGCUGGGUUAGAUGGGCUGGACCAUUAAGCAGUCCCUAACACAUUUCGGAGGAAGAGAAGCACUGUAGGUCAAAAAUCCAUCUGCACAGGGAGCAGCACCGUGAAAGAGACUUGGGGGUCUUAGCCGUCAUCAAGUUCAAUGACAGAACAGAGCCGCUUCACAGUCUAAGAAGCUAAGGGAAUGCUGUGUGAGUGUUUCCCACAGAGCGAGGGUGGCAUCUGCCUAGCUGGAGGGCUGGCAGCACACCGAAUCUGCCUGCAGUGGAUUCUGAAACAUGGAAUUGUGGCUAGUGGGAUGGCAAACAGGAUGAGACUCAGAGCUGCUUGCCGUGAUGGAGAUGAGGGACGUAAGUCUAGCAUGGUGAAAAUGGACUUGGAACCCACACGUCUUGCUUGAAACGGCCCAGACCUUCUUGCCCUUGACUGAGCCCCUGACCUCCCAAACUCCAGUGACUGAGCCCUCAGGAAUUGCCUGUUCCACAACCGCCAAACCACCCGAGCUCUUCAACUUCUCCCCGGUGUGUUCCUUCCCACUCCUUCUGAGUAAUGAAGGCCAGCCAGC